rnacentral:rRNA from 1 species
UCAAGAAACUUCCACAAUGGGCGAAAGCCUGAUGGAGCGACGUCGCGUGAUGGACGAAGUGCUUCGGCACGUAAACAUCUUUUUAUGUGGGAUGAAAUUAUUGACAGUACCACAUGAAUAAGGGGCUCCUAACUCUGUGCCAGCAGGAGCGGUAAUACAGAGGCCCCAAGCGUUAUCCGGAAUCACUGGGCGUAAAGGGUGUCGAGGCGGUUGUAUUAGUCGUUCGUAAAAUCUACGAGCUUAACUUGUAGGCGGCGAACGAAACGGUACGACUUGAGGUUUGGAGAGGUGCGUGGAACUCACGGUGUAGGGGUGAAAUCCGUUGAUAUCGUGGGGAACACCAAAGGCGAAGGCAGCGCACUGGCCAAAUCUGACGCUCACACACGAAAGCUAGGGUAGCGAAGAGGAUUAGAUACCCCGGUAGUCCCUGAGCGGGCUGGCAAGGCGCAU